CGAACGGGUGAGUAACACGUGGGCAAUCUGCCCUGCACUCUGGGACAAGCCCUGGAAACGGGGUCUAAUACCGGAUAUGACCCUCGCAGGCAUCUGUGAGGGUGUAAAGCUCCGGCGGUGCAGGAUGAGCCCGCGGCCUAUCAGCUUGUUGGUGAGGUAACGGCUCACCAAGGCGACGACGGGUAGCCGGCCUGAGAGGGCGACCGGCCACACUGGGACUGAGACACGGCCCAGACUCCUACGGGAGGCAGCAGUGGGGAAUAUUGCACAAUGGGCGAAAGCCUGAUGCAGCGACGCCGCGUGAGGGAUGACGGCCUUCGGGUUGUAAACCUCUUUCAGCAGGGAAGAAGCGAAAGUGACGGUACCUGCAGAAGAAGCGCCGGCUAACUACGUGCCAGCAGCCGCGGUAAUACGUAGGGCGCAAGCGUUGUCCGGAAUUAUUGGGCGUAAAGAGCUCGUAGGCGGCUUGUCGCGUCGGUUGUGAAAGCCCGGGGCUUAACCCCGGGUCUGCAGUCGAUACGGGCAGGCUAGAGUUCGGUAGGGGAGAUCGGAAUUCCUGG
rnacentral:rRNA from 1 species